rnacentral:rRNA from 1 species
AGGAAGUGGGGAUGACGUCAAGUCCUCAUGGCCCUUAUGUCCAGGGCUACACACGUGCUACAAUGGUCGGUACAAAGUGACGCGAAGCCGCGAGGUGAAGCAAAUCGCAGAAAGCCGGCCUUAGUUCGGAUUGGAGUCUGAAACUCGACUCCAUGAAGGUGGAAUCGCUAGUAAUCGCGCAUCAGCAUGGCGCGGUGAAUACGUUCCCGGGCCUU